rnacentral:ribozyme from 1 species
CAUUAAAACAAAGAAGAAGGAUAUGAAAUGCCGCGUUCCUGUUGUAUUCGUAUCUAAAAAACGGAUGAAAUGGAAAACCAAAGAGCGCUCUCUCUCUCUAAAACUCUAACGAGGCAUCGUCAUCGUCCAAAAAAGAAAGAGCGAAAAAACCUUCUCGUGUAACGUAUUUGUUCCUGUUGUUCUCGUUAUCUCGCAUUCGGACGUGUAUCU